UUCACACAAGUUGGUCGUCAUGGAAGAUCAUUCCUUGUGGACAUCCUAUCAAAACAGAUGUAGUGUCACUUGAUGCAAAAACAGAUUCUCAUAGUCCUUUGGAGGUAUUAUAAACUUCUGCGAACUUCUAACAAUUGAUCGCAUGAACUAAGUGUGAAAGAAAGUGCGACCUUUUUUUGCAAUUUGUGUGAAAAAAAUCACUAGACAAUCUAACAUCUAAAAUAAUUAGCUGCAUUUUUUUAUUUCUUUUGCUACAACCUGAGUGAGUACUGAAACAUGGAAAGAAGAGACUUUUUGGGCACUUUGACUUUGGCAACUUGUUUUUGCUGCAACCUGAAAAAAAUAGGAACAAGAUAAGAUUUUGUCAGGGGGAACUUAACAAGGUCUGGCGUUCGAAUGAUCUAGUGGGUUAUGUCCAAAUUUUUUUAGAGUUUUUAUGUAAAUAUGCAUCGAUCAGCAAAUAGCAGCAUUUUAAGCAACAAAAUUUUGAUAGCAAUCAUCUUUGUAAAAACAACAAACACAGUAGUGCAGCAGCAUGCACAUUCAUCUUUCUAAAUUUCUUCUCACUUCCUGUAAAUGCAAAACCAGAAUACAUAGCAGCAGCAACCCCACAUACACAUUCAUCUCUCAAAUCUCUCUCAAACUCGCUCACUUCCUGUAAUGCAAUAGGAUCGGGGGUCGGGAGCAGAGGUAUGAGCAAAGAACAAUUAAUUGGCAGAUGGAUUCGAAGUUGAGAUCAAACAAAACAAGUUAAGAUUAAAGAACAAUUGAUUGUUCCCCAGAUUGAAUGGAUGGAAACAAACAAACUAAAUCAAUUUGAUUAUUGAUUGCACUGCGGUAGCUACCUUUGUCGAGCUCGAGCUGUUCAUUGAGGGGCACCUUGGGCG
rnacentral:lncRNA from 1 species